AAGAAACCCACGGCAGCAGGGAGCCACAGAGACGUGAGUUCCCCUCUGUCUCGAUGCCUACACAGAGCCCCACCCCCACUGACUGACAUGCUUCCACCAGUCCAUCACUGGCAGUGGCGCGGAGCUUCUGCUCUAGGGUACACAUCCCAGGCCACCCUCCCCUCCAGGUGCUCUCUCUCUCUCUCUCUCUCUCUCUCUCUCUGCUCCUGCGCCAGCUGGAACGUCUUCUUUAGGGUUGGUGGAAAGUGCUGGAUCUGUUGAUCUAAGUGUGGGUGUCUGAUGGAUUGCAGCCAGACUGUGAUUUGUUUUACGUGGCUGCCUCACUGAGUCCAGACAGGACGUCUUAGCCAUCCAGAGUGGCUUCCCAGAUCUGUCCCACGAGCCAGGUUGCAUGUGUCACGCAUCUAGGACCAGUGCCUUGUACCUGAUCAGCCUGUAGGUGAGGUGAGGGCCACUGUGCCCUCUGGCCCGUCCCCCUCUGCCAGCCCCGAGUGCUCCCAGCCAGUUGGCCGCGCCUGUGGUGCUGAGUCCCACCUACACCUGCCGCGGUAGCGCCAUGGGAGCCCGCUGUUAGGCCAGGCGAGGCUGCUGCUGUCCACAUCCAACCCAUCGCCAUGGCGCCUCGGCUGUGAGGCAGAGGCAGAUCUUCGGGGCAACGAAGACACAGCUUUUGAGGAGCUCGUUCCUGAAGCAGCACCUGUACAAGUUGAAACUGCCAAGGAAUCCAAAAGGAAGUAGAGAAGUUAUCAGCUGCACGUUUGAGCUGGAAGGAAGUGCUUGCAGCCUGACUGACAGCACGGCAGAGGAGCACGUGCCGGCCUUGGUGGAGCACGCAGCUGACGAGGCUCGGGACAGGAUCAGCCGGCUCUCACAGGGGGCAAGGAAGUCCUUCUGGCCUCAGCAUCGGGGAGCAGCCAGAGGUGACCCACGACCCAUACGAAUUUCUUCACUUUCCAGAACCUGCAGCCUCUGCAAAGAGCUAGCCUUGUAGAUAGACUUCCGUUAGUUUUUUAUUUUUUUAUUUGUGUGUACAGAGUUUUUGUCGUGAGACAGAGACUUUCGUUUUGUCCCCUCUGGCGUGCGGGAAGCAGCCCCGGGGAGGUGGGGAGGUGUCUCUGGCAUCAUGUCAGCCACACGCGGAUCCCGUGUUUCUGUGGGUAGCCCCGUGAAUCCUGGACAGUGGACAGCACACAUACAGGUGUGUGACUGGGUGGGGUUGAGCCGUUGUGCUUUGUCUCUUGAGCUUUGAGGGGUCUGUAAAGCUCCUCUCUGUGUCUGGCCGGGACAUACCAUCCUGCCCCAGCUUCCUUCCCGAGCACCCCCUGGGAGGCAAGAGAUGCCCACGUUGAGGGUCCUGUGUGCUGUUUGCCCUGCCCGCCCUCCCCGCAGUCCCCACAUUUCCGAAGCAGGUCAUGGCGGGGCCGCACCCUCCUGGCCUGGGAUAGGCUCUGUGCUGGGCGAGGCCUGCCUUCUGCUGGAAGCUGACACUGCCCCCUGACGACAGUGAUGUGCUGUGUCCAUAGACUUUUUUAAUCUGGAUGUGUUUACUGGAUGCUUGUUUACAUUUGCAAAAUGUAGAGAUCUCAAUAAAAUACAGAGCGAUUGCAUGUAAUUGUUUGCAGCCCCAUAGGUG